AAGAAAAAUGAUAUGCAUACCAACAAAAUCAAGCGGAUAUCCUGACGAGUGUGCUCGUGGUGGUCGCUCAGAUCCCAGCCGUGCGUGGCGGCGGGCGUCCUCGUCGAGAUAGUGUCGUUGUAUACAUCAACUUCAUCUCCAACCCAUCCACAGGUGUACCAGCUCCUCUCUGUAUAUUGUUUGAUUUUUUCAUGUUCAAUUCAACUUUCGCUAAAAGAACUUCAAAAUCGAGCAGGGAUUGCUUGAUUUGUAGCCAAUGAUUUAAUUGUUCAUACUAUUUUGGUGUCUAGAAAUAGUAGUAAAACUACUAAUAUCGUAUUAGGGGCUACAACGCAGCAUGUAUUGUUUGUUUGAAUUAAUUUAUUUUCAUUGUAAUAGAGAGGAAGCAGUGAGUUUUGCUGGGGUUUUUUCCUGAAGGAAUCGUGGUUUCUUUCAGGCCAUCUCCAUGGUAACACAGGGCCAGGGUUUUGGUGUAAGUAGCUCUAAAAUAUUAAUUAGACUGGUGAAUCUGACGGUUAUAGUGCUCCAUUCAAUUAUGAUUCACUAUCGCCGCUAUAUCAGAUGGAAGGUUUACAGUUUGGAGAUUGGAGCAUCCAAGAUAUUAUAUCAUAUUGUUCAUGAAAAGUUAUGCAAUAAGAAGUUAAGAACCACCCGAUAAUAUGGAAUCGCUGUAUGCCUUUUUACAGCAACUAGCAAGGAGCAAAAUAAUAUUUUUGAUGUUGCUUUGACUAAUUAAGUGAGGUCCUAACUUAAGUUGGCUAAUUUCUUUCAUACCCAUUAUAUGAUUGGCAUGUCCUAUUUCUCUCUUGGUUUCUUCUUCUUUCUUUUGUUGCUUCUUUGGAAUUUUGUUGGUGUAUUUUGGCUAUUUGUUGAGUGUUUGGUGCUUGGUUUUCAGUUGUUCACUUUCUUUUUCUUCCCCUUCUUUGAUUUUUCUUUUGGAUGAUCUUCUCCUAAUAGACACCAUAUGGUUUUUGUGUUGUUUCCUAGGUACAGAUUUUGGUGUCAAUUCCUGGACCUUGCUGCCUGCAUGGCCAUCGGCAUAGCCAACCCGACGUGCCGGCGUUUAGCGCGGAUGGCCAGAUCUAUGCGGCAGAGAGCAUGGCCGAUGCUGGAAGGGAGGUCUUGCCGCCGGCCUCCAAGCAGUCGGUAGGCACAAUGGAUCCUAAAGCUCCAGGCUGGAUCAAAAGGGUGAGGAUUUGGGAGGAAGCCCCUGUUUAGACACCUUGUCCCAGUCAAGCACGAGCCGACGGCGGUGACACUGCAUAUGUUAUCCAGGAUCAUGCUCAACGGUUGUGUCAUCGGCGACAAGAUCCACAAGAUGCCAUGGCGGUGGUUGCCCCGGGUGUUAAUGUAGAGGGCAGGAACCAGUAGCAGGUGAGCACCAAGAUCUCUGAAACUUUUUCUUCAAAAUACAGUAACCAAGCUGCGUUUGUUUCGUGCACAUACAUAAAUGGAUGGCUCUUCUUCUUGGAGCCCCAAGUUGUGGGAAAAAACCCCUAUUGCUACCACUUGCAGGAAAGCUCAACCAAAACCAAGAGAUGUACAUAUUUAUCCCCACAAGGCCACAAGACACAACUGUGUGUUGUAGGUAGCAUCAGAAAUUGAGUUGAAUGGGAUCAAGAUGGAGCGGUAAUACAAAAGCAUUGUAUUUGCUUGGUCCAAUAAGGCUGCACGGCGCCACCACGCCCGCUCAAGACGACUGUGGCCGGAACCAAAGACCCUGGACAGGAGCCAUUUGCUUUCAACAUUGGCAAGGGUUCAAUGAUCAAAAGUGAUCCUCUUUGCUCGUGGGCGCGCAAUGGGAGCGCGGCGCACAAUCUCCGCCUGCUCUAGGACACUACAUGCGGCACAGUCACGUUGGCCUCGGCGGCAGGCACCACAACGACAGCGAGCGGGGAUUUUCCAUCGUUCAGAUGCUAGCGUUCCAGUUCCGCACCCCUUCCAUGUGUGUGCUCCAGUUUAUGCCCUGCAUUGUGCCCUUCAUCCCGCAAACCCCUGGCGUUUACAACAAGGACUGCUACUUCUUCUGCGAUGCUCGCGACGUGGGCCGUGUUGAGGACUAAUAAGAUGGCGAAGGAGCAGCUUCUCAAGAAGGCGAUGAUGAAGGUGAGCGUCGGCUCAUUGGGCAACGGAGAGCGGUGAGGAUGCGAAGGCGGAUGCGAUGCAAUACAACGGCAUGGUGGAGAGGAGUAUCUUGUAGAGACAUAAUGUUAAGAUUGCUUGUUUAUUUGUUGAGUUUGAUUACCAUUUGUAUAUGCACUUGUCCUAUCAACUGCAAAGAAAGCCACUCAAAGGGGCACUUCCUUA